CACAAAGACAAUCUAAUCUAAAUUAUAGGGCAGUAACUUUCAACACAAUCUUACACUAUAUUUGGUCAAGGGGUAUUGAAAGUUCGCAGCAUGUUAUGUUACAUAUGUCUGUCCUGAGGAAAUGAACAAAGAUGAAUUCCAG